CGUUGGUUCAUUCAUUAUUCUCAAUGGGCCAAUUUGUACUUUUUGGGCCCAAAUCUCAUCCAGUUCUAUUGGGAGUCGAACUGGGCGUCUUCUCUCCGUUGCCCAUUCUGAAGCAGCCAUGGCUUCAGCUCCUUCGAAGCUUUACGCAGAUGAUGUUAGCCUUUUAGUGGUUUUACUGGAUACGAAUCCAUUUUUCUGGAGCACAUCUGCUCUUCCGUUCUCCAAGUUUCUGUCUCAUGUACUUGCUUUUCUGAACUCCAUUUUAGUUCUGAACCAACUUAAUGAGGUUGUGGUUAUUGGUACUGGAUAUGCUUCAUGCAAGUAUUUAUACAACUCGUCUUCUUACUCAAAUCAUGGCCUUGAAGAUGGUAGAAUGCCUGCACUUUGUACUCGUUUAUUGAAGAAUUUGGAGGAGUUCGUGAUUGGGGAUGAGCAGUCCAUCAAGGAAGAUCCCAAAGGAGGGACCAUGUCUUCACUUCUUUCUGGAUCGCUCUCCAUGGCCUUGUGUUAUAUACAGAAAGUUUUCCGCUCUGGAUCUCUCCAUCCCCAACCACGAAUCCUUUGCUUGCAGGGAUCCCCAGAUGGUCCUGAACAAUAUGUUGCAAUCAUGAAUGCCAUCUUUUCUGCUCAGCGUUCAAUGGUUCCUAUAGAUUCAUGUUACAUUGGUUCCCACAAUUCUGCAUUUCUUCAGCAGGCUUCUUACAUAACGGGUGGAGUUUAUCUGAAGCCUCAGCAAAUGGAUGGGCUGUUUCAGUAUCUCUCUACUGUUUUUGGCACCGAUUUGCAUUCCCGGACCUUUUUACAGCUUCCAAAAUCUGUUGGUGUGGAUUUUCGUGCAUCGUGUUUUUGCCACAAGAAAACGAUCGAUAUGGGCUAUGUCUGUUCUGUUUGUUUAUCUAUAUUCUGCAAGCAUCACAAGAAAUGUUCUACCUGUGGGUAAGCGAAAGGUCAGUUUUUGGUGAGACACCAGUAGAACUCGAUUCAGUGUCUAAACUGAAGAGAAAAACUCCAGAAUGAUUGCGCUCUUCUCUGUUUGGAACUGGAAUUCAUUUGGUUCACAUGGCAUGAACAGAGAUGACUCAAAGGAAACAGUUGCUGAAAGAGAGUCAAUCUCAACAUUGUACAAUUCAGAUCAAUAGUUGUCGAAUUCGGAUGGGAUAACAUGGAACGAUGGCUAGCAAGGUCAUGCAUCUGUAUUUCGUCUAUUCCAGUCUGAUACAAAUCGGGUACAAGGUUUAUAUGGAAUUCGAGACUUUAACUAGAAAAGUUAGUCUAAUGUAAUUGUACCGAAAGCUUGAGUGGUUUAUAAGUACAUGUAGAUUUAUAUUUCUCUCACGCUUGAAAGUACUCCAAAGCUUACCUUUGUAAAGGUAGACAGAAGGAUAGGGAUAUUCACAUUGUUGAUUUCAAGACCUCAUACUUGGAAAUUUUACGAGUUUGAAAUGUGCCAAGUGAAUCAUAUAAUACUACAAUUUGAGCAUACUUGUGAGGUUA